rnacentral:rRNA from 1 species
ACGCUGGCGGCGUGCCUAAUACAUGCAAGUCGAGCGAAGUUUUUCUGGUGCUUGCACCGGAAAAACUUAGCGGCGAACGGGUGAGUAACACGUAAAGAACCUGCCUCAUAGACUGGGACAACUAUUGGAAACGAUAGCUAAUACCGGAUAACAGCAUUAACUGCAUGGUUGAUGUUUAAAAGUUGGUUUUGCUAACACUAUGAGAUGGCUUUGCGGUGCAUUAGCUAGUUGGUGGGGUAAAGGCCUACCAAGGCGACGAUGCAUAGCCGACCUGAGAGGGUGAUCGGCCACACUGGGACUGAGACACGGCCCAGGCUCCUACGGGAGGCAGCAGUAGGGAAUCUUCCGCAAUGGGCGAAAGCCUGACGGAGCAACGCCGCGUGAGUGAAGAAGGAUUUCGGUUCGUAAAGCUCUGUUGUUAGGGAAGAAUGAUUGUGUAGUAACUAUACACAGUAGAGACGGUACCUAACCAGAAAGCCACGGCUAACUACGUGCCAGCAGCCGCGGUAAUACGUAGGUGGCAAGCGUUGUCCGGAAUUAUUGGGCGUAAAGCGCGCGCAGGUGGUUUAAUAAGUCUGAUGUGAAAGCCCACGGCUCAACCGUGGAGGGUCAUUGGAAACUGUUGAACUUGAGUGCAGGAGAGAAAAGUGGAAUUCCUAGUGUAGCGGUGAAAUGCGUAGAGAUUAGGAGGAACACCAGUGGCGAAGGCGGCUUUUUGGCCUGUAACUGACACUGAGGCGCGAAAGCGUGGGGAGCAAACAGGAUUAGAUACCCUGGUAGUCCACGCCGUAAACGAUGAGUGCUAAGUGUUGGUCUCAUAAGAGAUCAGUGCUGCAGCUAACGCAUUAAGCACUCCGCCUGGGGAGUACGACCGCAAGGUUGAAACUCAAAGGAAUUGACGGGGACCCGC